rnacentral:lncRNA from 1 species
AUGUCAUCUAACCUCCGAGGAAUUCAUUGUCCUGUUUCAGUACUAGUGAUGGCUGUGGCUCUUGCCCUUUGUCUCGCUGUCUCUCUCUGUCUCUGUCUCUCUGCCUCCCUCUUUCUCUGUCUCUUCCCCCCCUCUUUCUGUGCCCCCUCUGUCUCUGUCUGUCCUCUCUGUCUCUGUCUCUCUGCCUCCCUCUUUCUCUGUCUCUUCCCCGCCCUUUCUGUGCCCCCUCUGUCUAUCUGUCCUCUCUGUCUCUGUCUCUCUCUGCCUUACCCCCUCUCUGUCUCUCUCUUUCUGCUCCUGCCUCUCUCUCUCUGUCCCCUCUGUCUGUCUCUCUCUGCCUCGCCCCCUCUCUGUCUCUCUUUCUGCCCCAUCUUUUUUCUGCGCCCUCUGCCCCAUCUCUCUCUGUCCCACCUUAGUCUCUCUGUUCCCCUCUAUCUCUGUCUCUCUUUUUUGUCUCUGUCCCUCUGUCUCUCUGCCCCCUGUCUCUCUGUCCCACCUAUGUCUCUCUGUCUCUGUCUCUCUUCUCUGUCUCUGUCUCCCUGUCUCUCUCUCUGCCCCCUGUCUCUCUGUCCCACCUAUGUCUCUCUGUCUCUGUCUCUCUUCUCUAUCUGUCUCUGUCUCCCUGUCUCUCUCUCUGUCCCCCUCUGUCUCUGUCUCUCACUCUCCCCCACCCCCUGGCUUUGCUCAUGUUCACCAGGAGGGGUGUUAUGGUUUCUGGUUGUUUCCUUGCAGGUGUUUCAGGGGCUAUAA